GCUCUCCUGCCCGUGGUGGUGCUUCCGGCGUCUCCCCUGUGCUACUGCCGGCGAACACGUCCCCGAGCACCUGCUGCCUACCACCUCGACGACUAGCCGCUGCCGGUCAAUGGAGCAACUUUUGGCAGAUCUCGCUACUACCGUUGUCAUCGUGCUACUACUAGGACCUCUACUUCGAGAAGGAAUUAGGGCUCGACCUGUUGGUGUGUUCUUGGGUGGUGCCCUCGCUGCCCAUGUUCACCACCGACGAGUCUGUAACCGGAGAGGGCGCCGCUGUCCUGCUUCUUGGCUGUGGACGACCUCGAGCAUGAGGUCUCCAGGUUGGACACGCUCGCCGGCAUCACCGUCAAUUUUAGGGUGGAGAGGGAGUGGAUAUGUUGGACAAGUCAGUGGAGAAGUUCCUGGAGCAUUAUGCCUGCUGCUCCAGCAUCUGCUUGUGCUCUGUCACCGCCGUUGUCUUCAAGAUCAAAUGGAGCAACUUGUGAGCUUGUGGCCGAUCUCGCUACUACCGUUGUCAGCAUGCUACUAGUAGGACCUCUACUUUGAGAAGGAAGUAGGGAUUGUCCUGUUGGUUGGUUCUUGUGUGGCGCCCUCGCUGCCCGUGUUCAUCACCGAUGAGUCUGAAACCUGAGAGGACGCUGCUGUCCUGCUUAUUUGCCGUGGAUGACCUCGAGCACGAGGUCUCUAGGAUGGACACACUCGCCGACAUCACCAUCAAACCUUGAUGGUGGUGAUGUUCACAUUUGUUUGCAGUUUGAUUACAUUGAGCCAAAACUGAGCUAUAUCAUUAUUUACUUCUCUGCAGAUUCGUAGCCAAAACUGAGCCAAAUCUGUGUUCUAGGUCUGUUUCUAUUUGCUUUUCUUGAUAUAUUGGUAGGCCUGUUUAUGAUCUCUAGGAAUAAUCAUCUAGCUAUUUUACACGCAACGACAGUAGUCAUCUAGCUUUUUUUUCUCUUUCUUAAUGUAUAUGGGCUGAAGAACUUCAUGCUUGCUCAUAUUUUAGCAAUUGCAUGACUCCGAAUAUGUAUAGUUGAUCAUGAACUUGAUUUCCAAUAAUAGCUGUUUUAGUCAUCGAGUCAUGCCCUGUGUAGGGCCGUUGAGCCGUUGGACUUUAAGAAGUUUUUGGUGCUUUACUAGUACUGGAAUGUGUGGUUGCAGUUGUAGUUGAUCUUGUCAACGUUAAACAUACUAGUCGAAUUGGAUUGUAUGUUUGAAUGUCUAGAGGCAUGCUGUAUGUACUUUUCUGGCAUUUGUAUUGUGGUCCUGGAUGUCUAGAGAAGGGCAAAGAUCAUGGCAGAAUUUUGAAUACUUGCUAAUUGAACUUGCAGUGUUUUAGUAAGUCUAACUCUUAGUGGCUUUGAAUUGAUAGUAUUUGGCUGUUGCUCGUGAUGAAGUAGUGCCACUGCAAUGUAUUUGGCCAAGUUGACUAACUGCAAUUUAUUCGUGAAUAUUCAUCAUCACAUUUUCGCCACUAGCUGCUGCUCUGACUAUUUCUUGAUAUUUCAUUGGCAUGCCUGUGGACAUGUGUUUCCUGACACUAAUGAAAAGUGUGCAAAUUCUAUUUGCAGGAUGGAAAAGCGGAGCUGGAGGUGGCCUUCUUCCUGUAUAUACGUCUAGGUAUGUUUACUUGAGUAUCCCUGCUGUGAUAUACAGUGGCAUCUAGAGCUAUGGCUAAAGUGUGAACCGGCCAUCGAGGAGAUGAUGAUGCUGGUUUAGGUUCAGUUUUGGUGGUUGUGUAACCAGGAUGUGGUCCUGGCACUAAGUGCAGUUC